CUGAUUGAUGGUGCUUGCACCUGAUUGACGAUGGAUCACCAGUGAGUGGCGGACGGGUGAGUAACACGUAGGUAACCUGCCCCGGAGCGGGGGAUAACAUUUGGAAACAGAUGCUAAUACCGCAUAACAACAAAAGCCACAUGGCUUUUGUUUGAAAGAUGGCUUUGGCUAUCACUCUGGGAUGGACCUGCGGUGCAUUAGCUAGUUGGUAAGGUAACGGCUUACCAAGGCGAUGAUGCAUAGCCGAGUUGAGAGACUGAUCGGCCACAAUGGAACUGAGACACGGUCCAUACUCCUACGGGAGGCAGCAGUAGGGAAUCUUCCACAAUGGGCGCAAGCCUGAUGGAGCAACACCGCGUGAGUGAAGAAGGGUUUCGGCUCGUAAAGCUCUGUUGUUGGAGAAGAACGUGCGUGAGAGUAACUGUUCACGCAGUGACGGUAUCCAACCAGAAAGUCACGGCUAACUACGUGCCAGCAGCCGCGGUAAUACGUAGGUGGCAAGCGUUAUCCGGAUUUAUUGGGCGUAAAGCGAGCGCAGGCGGUUGCUUAGGUCUGAUGUGAAAGCCUUCGGCUUAACCGAAGAAGUGCAUCGGAAACCGGGCGACUUGAGUGCAGAAGAGGACAGUGGAACUCCAUGUGUAGCGGUGGAAUGCGUAGAUAUAUGGAAGAACACCAGUGGCGAAGGCGGCUGUCUGGUCUGCAACUGACGCUGAGGCUCGAAAGCAUGGGUAGCGAACAGGAUUAGAUACCCCUGGUAGUCCAUGCCGUAAACGAUGAGUGCUAGGUGUUGGAGGGUUUCCGCCCUUCAGUGCCGGAGCUAACGCAUUAAGCACUCCGCCUGGGGAGUACGACCGCAAGGUUGAAACUCAAAGGAAUUGACGGGGGCCCGCACAAGCGGUGGAGCAUGUGGUUUAAUUCGAAGCUACGCGAAGAACCUUACCAGGUCUUGACAUCUUGCGCUAACCUUAGAGAUAAGGCGUUCCCUUCGGGGACGCAAUGACAGGUGGUGCAUGGUCGUCGUCAGCUCGUGUCGUGAGAUGUUGGGUUAAGUCCCGCAACGAGCGCAACCCUUGUUACUAGUUGCCAGCAUUAAGUUGGGCACUCUAGUGAGACUGCCGGUGACAAACCGGAGGAAGGUGGGGACGACGUCAGAUCAUCAUGCCCCUUAUGACCUGGGCUACACACGUGCUACAAUGGACGGUACAACGAGUCGCAAGCUCGCGAGAGUAAGCUAAUCUCUUAAAGCCGUUCUCAGUUCGGACUGUAGGCUGCAACUCGCCUACACGAAGUCGGAAUCGCUAGUAAUCGCGGAUCAGCAUGCCGCGGUGAAUACGUUCCCGGGCCUUGUACACACCGCCCGUCACACCAUGGGAGUUUGUAACGCCCAAAGUC
rnacentral:rRNA from 1 species